GAUGAACGCUGACAGAAUGCUUAACACAUGCAAGUCUACUUGAAUUCUCUUCGGAGAUAGUAAGGUGGCGGACGGGUGAGUAACACGUAAAGAACUUGCCCUGCAGUCUGGGACAACUAUUGGAAACGAUAGCUAAUACCGGAUAUUAUGCGAGAGCCGCAUGGCUCUUGUAUGAAAGCUAUAUGCGCUGCAGGAGAGCUUUGCGUCCCAUUAGUUAGUUGGUGAGGUAACGGCUCACCAAGACCGCGAUGGGUGGCCGGCCUGAGAGGGUGAACGGGCCACAAGGGGACUGAGACACGGGCCCUUACUCCUACGGGAGGCAGCAGUGGGGAAUAUUGGACAAUGGGACCAAAAGUCUGAUCCAGCAAUUCUGUGUGCACGAUGACGGUCUUAGGGAUUGUAAAGUGC
rnacentral:rRNA from 1 species